rnacentral:rRNA from 1 species
CCUACGGGAGGCAGCAGUGAGGAAUAUUGGUCAAUGGACUCAAGUCUGAACCAGCCAUGCCGCGUGCAGGAAGACGGCUCUACGAGUUGUAAACUGCUUUUAUACGGGAAUAAACUUUGCUACGUGUAGCGAACUGAAUGUACCGUAAGAAUAAGCACCGGCUAACUCCGUGCCAGCAGCCGCGGUAAU